GCUGUUGGCCCUACGGCCUUUACAGCAUCACAGGUAAAAAUAAGGAUAAAGGAGCAGUGAUUUUUGUCUACGUGUAAGAUAUUAUAGUUUACAGAGUGUGUUUAUAAAAGAGUUUACUUAAUGUGACACGCCCAUUAAACACGCCUCGAAGCCUCGAAAUAAGUCACAAAAAACAUAAACGUAACGACGUGACGUUGUGUUCUUAGUACUAUGAGUCAUUUUGAUUGUGUAAUAUUUUUAUUGCAUCAUCGUGUUGUCGACUGAAUUUUUAUGACUCAAAUUGUCAAUGUAUUAUAUUAUGCAAUACAUUAUUAAGCUAUUGGAUAAUAUAAAAGAAAAAAAAAACUAGUCUCAAAUUUUCAAUACGUUUUAUAACUAUCCUUAUUAAUUAAAAAUGUAUAAGUUUAGAUAUAAUAUAACUAGAUAACAGUA